GAUGAACGCUAGCGGCAGGCCUAACACAUGCAAGUCGAGGGGUAGUUACUUUCGGGUAAUGAGACCGGCGCACGGGUGCGUAACGCGUAUGCAAUCUACCUUUUACAGGGGAAUAGCCCAGAGAAAUUUGGAUUAAUGCCCCAUAGUAUGUAUGAAUCGCAUGGUUUAUACAUUAAAGUUCCAACGGUAAAAGAUGAGCAUGCGUCCCAUUAGUUAGUUGGUAAGGUAACGGCUUACCAAGACGAUGAUGGGUAGGGGUCCUGAGAGGGAGAUCCCCCCACACUGGUACUGAGACACGGACCAGACUCCUACGGGAGGCAGCAGUGAGGAAUAUUGGACAAUGGGCGCAAGCCUGAUCCAGCCAUGCCGCGUGCAGGAAGAAGCAUCUAUGGUGUGUAAACUGCUUUUGUACAGGAAGAAACACUCCCUCGUGAGGGAGCUUGACGGUACUGUAAGAAUAAGGAUCGGCUAACUCCGUG
rnacentral:rRNA from 1 species